GGUUAAUAAAAUGCUUAAAAAUCAACGUUGAAAUUUGGUUGAAAUAGCGUCAGUUGUUUGUUCAACGUUGAUUCAACGUUGAAACAACGUUGAAACAACAGUGAAGUAAAUGGUUGCAGAGAGACAAUAAAAUAAUGUUUUAUAAUAUGUGAAUCAUUCAGAAAAAAAAUUUAAAAACUCACUUUAUAAAAUUGAUGACAUUAUGAAAAAAUGUAACAAAUAAUUGAAUAUACAGGUAGCGACGUAAUCUCGCGAGAUUACACGAGAUUGGACUGUUUUAACGGCUGUCUUCGAGAUCUUGCGUAUCACACGAGAAAAUGCUUCAGAGAAAGAAGAGAGCCCUUCAAAUUAGAAAAGUGAGGAUGAUCUUGUCAAUGCUGAGAUUUUCAUGCAUCAGCAGCCACUACAUCUGGAUCAGAUUGAACAAGAAACGGACAGCAAGGGUUGUCAGAUCAGAAACAGAAUGACACACAAACAAGAAACUUCACAGGCAGAUCAACAUGCAAUUUGAAGACGUGUGAUAAAAUACAGAGAGGUGAAGUAGUGUGUCUUUCCAGAUCCCCAAAUCAUUCCCCCUUAAAAGAUGAGCCUGAAGAGGAGAUUUGGGAAGAUGUUGUUUCAUAAGUCGCUUUGCCAGAUCACCUGUGGUCGGGAUGUCUGCUAACAAGAUGCCUUGCUGGUCUGAGCGAGUUUAAAGGCUUACACAGACAGUCCAGAAGUUCUGAAGUCCAUCUUCGAUUUCAUUGAUGCUGUCAUCGUAUUAAGUACAGCAUGAGCCAGAAUAGAUGGGUGGUGGUGGCCAUAAGAAGACUGUCAACUAAACCAACAACAAAAUUCAUAUUUGCAGUUUUUCUUGAAUAAAGUUUUUCUAUUCAGAUUAAUAAAAUGACUUUUAAACAUGA